rnacentral:lncRNA from 1 species
CGGGGGUACCUUGUCUCAUUAUCGAGUAUUGAAGGCAGGCGCCUCCUUACUCUUUGCUAGCUUGCCUCUUUUUCGUUAUGUUCUACUAUCAUCUCUGGUUAGGGAAAUUUUUUGUGCCAUAUCACUUGAAAAAGGAAUGAAGAAUUAGUUUGCAAUUUAGAACAAAACAAAAAUAAAGAAAAAUUGACUUGACGAAAGGUCUGACAGUCUAUCGAGAUCGCCACGGUCCAUCGGGCUCA